ACACUAUCACUUCUUUUUCAUUGUAAUUCAAUUGGAUACUGUUCUUGGAUUGGGUUGGCCACUUGCCAUUUCCCAGAAGCAAUGGUAUGUUCAAGAAUCUCAAGCUUUGCUCAUCUCUUUCCAUUUUAGAUCUCACUCUCACCGAUCUUCUUGACAGCAAACACAAGGUUAGAUACUUCCUCUUUAGCUUGAGUUCUUUGAGAUUCACGCAACAUCUUCUUCUAUCUUUAAUCCUCUAACCCUUGCUCAUAUUCUUUCUCAAAGACUGAAAUUGUUGAUUUAUGAAUUUGAUAUGAUCUCCAAGAUUCUUGCGCCUUUCAAUUUCAGCAUUGAUUCUUCAUUCAACCUAGUUAGGUUUGAUGGAGUUUAAAAACAGUAUGUAGGAUUAACUGUUAAAACAAUCCUGUUUGGACCGGUAUUAUUAGGCUUGAUUGCUAUAGUGUGUGGGGAGAAAAUACAGGAAGUCAGGAGGAAAGUGAGGGUAAGUAAAGGAAUAGAAGAAAGGAGAGAAAAUAAGGAUUCAUUAAAGUUUUUGACAAUUACUUCUGCAAAGAUAUCAAAUGCAGCUUCAGGAAAUACCAAAGUGACUAGCUAAAAGUAUAAUUGAUCAACUAACUAGUAACAGUGCCUAGCUCAGACACAUUACUCGCCUGGAGACAUGGGUUUGAGUAGCAUACCCCAAUCCCCUACUUAACAAUAAAAUAAAAGGAAAUAAAAGCUAACUAGUAACAGUUACUUGAUUACUGAGUAGUUAAUGGGUCCUAGGACAUCUAUCUUUUAGCCACUUUAUUGCUAAUUUUGCUUUAACUGCCAUUGAGGCUGAGAAAAGAGGAAGAGAUAAAGGAACAUAGGCAUAUCCUUUGGAGGAUUAUGCUGUUCAUAUGCUCUAAACCCUAUAAAUUUCUUCUGUCAGGUGGAGAAGACUUAAAAGGUCUAAAGGUUGCAUCCUUGCUGGAUAUAUACUGGUCCAACAGCACAUGCUUACUAAUUGAAUAUUGCUUAUAUCACAUAAAUCUUUUGGUGCCUUUAUGUGACAUAUUUUGGUUUCAUGUAUCCGAGAUCUCCCAUAUUAUGUUAUUUUAUGAGUUAUGCCCUGCCAUAUAUCAAACCUCUCUAUAAAUAUUUACGUUUCAUCAUUUUAAGAGAAAUUUUUUACUGGACAUCAACACAACUGUCAAAUAUUAUAACCAUUCUCAAUAGAAUUGACCACUGGUCACAACCUUGCUAACAAUUAUAAUAUAUUCUUCUUGCCAUAUAUUUAUUUUGAAAAUCUGCAAUGCAUUGACACUGAACUAUACUUUUUUUUUUGUACAUAUUAAAAAACAAGACAAACAUAGCAUAAACUAAGUCUAAUAACUUUUCUUUCGAUAACUGAUAAAAUUCCUGAUAACAAAAUAAAGUAGGUGGAGACUGGAGAGUGUUGCUACUGGCUACAAGGCUAUAUGCAGACAAUAAAGCCUCAUUACAAGUACACAGCAGUGAGUCUUAUCCUAAACUGCAUAGCAAGAUGGCGAAAUAUGAAGCAUUGCAAACAAUAGAUUAUAGACAUAUGUAUUUACCUUUUAAGAUUACAUGAAACUGAAGCUAAGCAAUCAAAUUCUUUGCUGAAACUACCUUUGACUUUACGGCUGCAACUCUGUAGCUCAGUAGCUGAAUUGAAUAUCCCACAAAUUCAUGUUUUUCUCGUUCCCUUAAAGUCUUUCCUGCCAUAUAUCUGAUACUGAUCUGCAGCAAUCAAGUUAGCUGUACUUUGAAUGAUUAGGCGCAUUUUCCUUGAUGCAAUCUGCGAUUCCCUUCUUUCCACUAUUUCCAACAAUUCAGAGGUUCAUGGCUGUUUUUGGCGAUUUCAUGGCUAGAAGAGCUCUCUCCUUCAGAAUACAUUUGUAAAGGACGGAUAUCCCAGACCCCUCCACCUCUCCAGUAGGAAGAGUUAACUUGUGGGAUGUGUGCAACUCUGCUAAAAUCUUCACCUUGUUCAUUUGGACUCAAUGUCCUAAUCAAUUCAUCAGGCAUUUCAAAAAACUCUAGCACUUUUAAUUUAGUCAGAUGCUCAAUUCCUGAGGGAACUUUUCUUAAGGAGUUGCAGCGCUGGAUGAUGAGUUUUUCAAGGCGAGGCAUUGCCCCUUUCUCCACAUGUAUGCUUUUCAGAUCAUUGAAUUUAUCAAGACCUAAUAUUUUGAGCUUCUGAAACCCUCCAGUAGCAAAUGACACAAUCUCUCCAUCAAAAGCCUGAAGUAAUUCAAGAUGAAUUAGAUUCGGCAAAUGUUGAAGAUCUGUAAAUGGAUCUUGUUUAAGUCGACUCCCUUUAAGAAACAAUUUCACCAGUCUGUUGACCAUGGUUAUCCAUUCUGGUAGCUUUUCUAGACGCCCUGUCAAGUACAAUCUCUGAAGAUGCUGAGGAGGUGAAAAUUGGCAUUGAAGGUCAAUGAUUUCCUCCUCUUUAACUGCAGUUAUAGACAGUGCUCGAAGCUUACUUAGCUUUUGAAUGGAAGAGCACAGAACCUUCCCAUCUUCUCUUCUCAACUUAGUGAUGCCUAACCUUCGUAGUUCCUUUAGCUUCCCCAACUCUGUCAUUAUAAUAUGGCUUUCUUUAUUUGCCUCUAUAAAGCAGAGCUUCUGCAGGUUUUUCAACUCUCCUAUUUUUGCAGGUGCUUCAAAACCAUAUUUAUAGUUGAAGUGAGCAUAAGGUUCGAACUCAUACCGAUACACCAGGAGAUGGUGGAGUUUUUUGAGCUUCAGGAUUGUUAUAGGCAAUUUACUGACAUAGGAAUGUUUGAGAUCCAAAGUUUGUAGGUUUCUAAGCUUUCCAAUGGAUGGUGGAAUUAUUCCCACCAUGGUAUUUUUCAAACUCAAGUACCUUAGGAGGGACAGCUUCACAAUUUCAGCUGGAAAUAUCUCUAAAGGUGCACCUUGCAAAUCCAGUACAUUAAGCAUACCAAAACUUUCAGGGAACGAUGUGUGCAUGGAUGAUAGGGAAUCUGUCAAUCCAAACAUGAAUAAGGAACGGAGUUGUGAAAAUGUCUUGAUCUGCUUUAUAUUCUGCAUUGUAUUAUGUAUGGAUAGCCUUCGAACUGUUUCAGGCCAUACUUCAUCUUGUUGUUUCGCUACUGCAGAAAAAUUUUGAUCUUUUGACUUCAAAAUGGAAAUCUUAUGCAGGAUAUCAUGGACACGACAUGUUUUGACCCUUCCAUCACUUGUUCUCUUUGCCACCUGGAUCAAGUUUCUGUCCAAAAGCAUCUUGAGGUAUCCCUGAGCAACUUCUUCUGCUGUUCUUUCUUCCAUUACUUCUGCAAAUCUUUCUGCUACCCACAAGCGAAUCAGUCUCAUGCACUCUAUAGGAUGGCCCUCUGGAAAGAUGCUAAAGUACAAGAAGCAAGAUUUUACAAUGUAAGGCAAUUUUUCAUAACUGAGAAACAAAAUUUCUUUCAUGAACUCGAUUUCAUUAUUAUCUCUCAGUUCUGCACCAAGGCUCCUAUCAACCAUUUCCCACUCAUCUGGUAGGCUUUUGUUCUUAGUAAACAAAAGACCGCUGAUUGCAAUGAUUGCCAGUGGCAGCCCCUCACAUUUUUCUAAAAUACUUUGGGAAACUUUCUGCAAAUAAGGAGGACAGAUUUCCUUCUUAAACGUCCUCUUGUUGAACAGUUCUUCAGACUCUUUCGCAGAUAGUGGUUUCAACUCAAAGUUGUGGCCAUUGAAUUCCUUAGAAGAGGUAGAAGAUACAGCGGCAUCGCGAGUUGUGAGCAUCACUCGGCCACCAUUUCCUCUAGGCAAUACAGAUUUGAUAGAAUUCCAUGCUCCUAAACUCCACACAUCAUCUAGCACAAGUAUGUAGGACCCUUGCCGGAGGAAAUUUUUUACUACUUCUUUCAGCUUGGUUGACUUCAUGGUUUCCACUUCCUGAGGGACUGGCUGCUUGAAUUCGGCAUAGAGCUGCUGCAUCAUGUCUUUUAGUAGGUCAGUGAUCUUGAAUGAUUCUGAGACAGUGAUCCAAACAUGGAAGUGAAAAUGUUUCUUCACUCUGGAGUCAUCAUAAACUUUCUUUGCUAGGGUGGUCUUUCCCAAUCCUCCCAUUCCACAUAUUGCAAUAAUUUUGAGUUUAGAAUCACCAUCUGCCAGCCAAGUAAUCAGCUGCUCUCUGUGAUUUUCAAUGCCCACUAACUCUUGCUCCUCUAGUAGAAGGGCUUGUUCUCGUUGGUCAAUCCAUGUUUCAGCUGCAGAAGUAGAGCUUGAACCUUUGCCCUUCUUGCUAAUAUCAUAUUUUGGUAGUUGAUCAAGAAUUGUAUCAAUUUCCAAUUUGAUCCUAUGUAUAUUAGCAGCAUUUUGGUGGUAAACAUUCUGUUUCUUGAAGGAAGUAUAAAUCUUGAGGAGAAAGCUGUGGAAUCCACACCCAUUGUUGUUGGCAGCAUGAACUGGAAGCUGGUUGAGGACAUCCUCAGUGCAGUGAAGAACAUCUCUCAAUUUCCCAACAAACUUUUGAAGUUCUGGAUCCAUCCUUUCCCCCGUAGCAGCUGCUCUAUGGAAUGCCCAUAUUUCAUCUAAUUUUCUUCUAAUGAACUUAACAUCUUCAUGAACCCCACUGAAGUGAUGCACGCCUACUUGGAAUAUGGAGUACAACUUGUCCAAAACGAAGGCAAGAGUCGCUCCCUCAGCCAUCUUCUCUUUUCUUUUUCAAUUGUAGUAUUUGUGCUGCAAUUUUGUUUGGAAAUUUUGUGUUUCACAAUUCUGUCUAUGAUAUUAUUCUCCUCAAUAGUAUUUCUGGAGCUCAAAGAAUGUAUACAAGCUUCAGUUUAGAUAUAUAAAUGUACUCUUCUUUUUUUUUUUUUUCACAAAAAGACUUUUGACCUUCAUUCUUAUGAGCUUUCAAUUGAACUUAUGGCCAAGUACUGUUUGACAUGCUCAUAGGGCUGACUUUUCAGUUCUUUGGAGUGCCAAAAAGCUUGUGUGAAGACAUAGCUAACAUCAUCCAAACCAAGUAAACAGUUUGAAAUAAUUAUUCGUCUGUAGUUAUUACCUGAAUUAUAACUCUUCAUUCCUGAGAAGGAAUAUUCCUCUUUAUUCUGUCUCAAUGUUGCUUCUGUAGCCAAAGGAAAUUACUAUUUUAGAUAUGUCUUGCAGGAAACAAUGGCUAUAGAAAACUAGGAAAAUGUUCAUCAAAUGGCAGUGGAUCUCAAGCUGAUGUAUGCUGGUGAUCCAUUUAAUCUGCACAAGAAAGUCACAAAAACUUACUAACUUUUUUUAUUGUUUAUUCAAGUUGCUGGCAAAAAUAGCUCCCCCAAACAACAGCUAUAGAAAACAUGGAAAAUGCUCAGUCAAAUAUCAAUGAAUACUGAAAAUGGUUGACUUUUUCAAGCAGAAGCAGGUGAUCCAUUGAAUCUGCACAAGAAAUUCAGAAAAACUUCUUAAUUUUUUGUAUUUUUUUGUUUCAAGUUGCUGCAAAAAUGGCUUCCCUAUUUCUCUAUAUAGGAAAAAUAUUUAAAUUCAUAUUCAAACAAGUGCCUUGCAUACAUAUGUAACAAGGCAGGUCUAGUAGCAUUUUCUGUUUCUCUCCAACGAUUUGGUCAAAUCUUCAGAUGCUUUCUUAAGGGAAAUAGCCAGUAAAUUAGAAACUUACUGGGAAAAAUAGUGACAGAUUCCGAGUACUGUUGUAGAUUCCCUCAAUUACUUUUAUAUUAUUUUCUUCUAAUUUAUUCCAAAUUGAGGUUCUAUGCAGAGUCAAGGAACAUGGUAGGUAAAUUAGAACCAAUGGUGCAGGCGUGCAGCAUGAUUUGCUCAAUGUGGAGACUCACCAGGAAGGUAAUGGUAAACCAUCUUAAGUCUUUUUCUAUUAACUUGUUUGCUUGCAAGUAAGAACUUGCUAUUUUUUUUUUCUAUGCAAGUGUUUCAAAAGCUUGAGUUUAUAGCAAAUGUUUUGAUAAAUUCUUCAUUUGUUACUUUUUCCGGGCAGUGUAUACUAAUAUGAAAAGUUGGUAACGCAGGUAACCAACUAGUAUUUUUAACUCCAAAAAUACUAUUUGUCUGGUUUUCAUUGACAUGAAUAACUAUUUCGAGAAACUAAAUCCUGCAAGUUUUUCCCCAGAAAUUGUGAAACGAGUGCAAUUUGUUUGAUAGAAGUAUUCAAGUGACCAACCUCUAAGAUGCUUAAGCCAUCUGAAAAGACAAAAGCACCAACCUAGAAUAUCUUACCAAAGUUGGACUGUUCUGCUUGGGAAAGAAAAGAGCAGUAAGGCCUUGUAACAUGGUUUCAAAUCGCGGUCGCGGCCACGUUCGCGGUCGUGGGUAAUGGAAACAGACCUGUAACGGCCGUAACGUAACGGUAACGGCCUGACGUUACGCAAAUUUUUUAAAAAAAUUUGCAAAGUUCAUAAAUAAAAUGAUAUUGAUUAGAUUUGAUUCAGAACAAUGUAUACAAAUGCAUAAUAAACAUAAAUAUAUAAAAUAUAGAUUAUUUAACUUAUGUUAAACAUCAUAUAUAGUUUAAAAAAAGAAAAAUCUAACAUAAUCUUUGUAGAUUGAGUAAAUUAAUAGCUCAAAGUACAAUUUUAACUCAAACUAACACUUUAAUCCAUAAAAACUUAUAAAAAAAGGAAAAAAAACAACAAUUAAAAACUAAAAUAGAUAAAAUCUAACCAACUUUUUAAAAGAAAUAAGCUUGGAAAUAGAAUAGUUUAUAAUGGAUCUAAUUUUAUACGAGAAAUAUGCAGGGAAGAUUGAAAUUUGAAAGAGAAAGGGAAGAGAAAACUGAAAAAAUAUAGUCUUUAAAGCUGCUGAAAAGUGUAGAAGAAUAGGGAGCAGAAGAUAAAGAAUAUAAAAGAAUUUUUAAUUAUUGGUAACUGCCGUUACCGUUAGUAAUUGCCGUUACCAUUACAUAACGGCUGUUACGCUUGCAACAUAAUUAUUUAAAACCAUGCCUUGUAAGGCCUUUAGCAGGAAAAUCAUACAUAUACUACAAUAGUUAAGUGCAGGUUUUCAUUGAGCUUUUUUAGGUGCUUCUCAAACAGGUAUUGGUCAGAUUCAUAUGACGGAUGCUUAAGACAAAUGGAAAAGAAAAAGAUUUAUGCGACCCAUAGCUGUUGCAUGCCUUCAUAAGAAAAGUUCUCUUACCAAUUUGAUGUAGCAUGCACAAACUAAGAUGCUAUCUAGUUACCUGUAUGACUUAGUAAGCAGAAUUGGUCAAUACUUGAAAUUUCCCAAAAAAAAAUUGAUAGAAAACACUCAAAAUGGCCUUACAAUUCAAUCUUUCUUAUUUAUUUCAGGAUGAUGUUCUAGUUAGCGACUCUAUUGUUUGAUAAAUGGUACCUGUGAGUGAAUGACUUGUCCAAAUCUGAGAAAUUUCAACUUUCUGUGUCAUUACCCAUUGUAUGCCAUAUAAAUUAUUGGUUUAAACAACUUGGUGGUUUGUAAGACACGCAAAUUCCCAACUUUAAUUCUGUAAAAUAUGUUUUGAAAGCAUGAUCUACUUUCAUUUGAUUGGAAGUUGAUCCAGUUUUCAGAAAAUUUUACAGAAUUAAAUUUCAACUUGCUGUGUCAUUACCCAUUGUAUACCAUAUAAAUUCUUUGUUUAAACAACUUGUUGGUUUGAAAGACAUGCAAAUUCCCCUACUUUAAUUCUGUAAAAUAUUUUCUGAAGGCUUGAUCUACUUUCAUUUGAUUGGAUUCCUUGUAGUCAUUACUUUUUUUUAUGAAAUAUCUCUACAAUGACAUAAAUAGUUGCGUAAUGCACGUUAUUAAUCAAUGUAGAUGUAUACAUACUAAUUUAUAUAUGAUUUCGUUGACCAUUGCAUGUGUCUCUGUUCAAAGCAUUACAAUUUCAACUGCUGCUGCUAUUUUUUUCCGAUGCUUGAAGCCUUAAAUUGUUAAUUCCUUUAAGGUUACCUAGAAACUUCUCAAAACUAUACUACUUAUAAGUUGAACCAUGAAACCUAAUAAUAUCUUUAGGAAUCUUCAAAAAUACUGACAUGAAGCUAGAAAAUCUUCAGAGUUGGACUGUUAUGCUCCAGGUAGUGUAGGUGUAAUUGACAAAUAGAAAUUCUUUUAAAGUUGAUCUAAUUGUAGUUCAUUUGGCUAAUAAAAUAAAAAAUUUCAACAAUCUUUUGUUAGUGGGCAAAUGUCUGUUUGCACAUGUACAUGUAAUGGAAGAUUCUUCUGCACAUGUUUCUGACUUCUUCGUUGAUUCUCAAUUUCAGAUAUUUGAUAUAUAUGAACACUGCUAUAGAAAAUGCUUAGUGCAUUUCCUUCCAUAAAAGUCUAUUCUUUUAUGAUUAACAACAUCCUAUCAAGUUAUAUUUCAAUGCGCCCUUGGUUAGUCCAGUUUGAAACUGCUGAACUGAUUAGCUUAACUGCUAGUGUUAGAGCCUUGGAGGUAGCUUAAUGGCAAAUAAAUCCAAGCAGAAUUUUAUGCAAAUAGUUGCACACUUGAGUUGCAGAAUUUUAUGCGAGAUCAGAUCAUGAAAUGAGUUGCACACUCGAUACAUUAAAUGACAAACAGAAAACCAUGUAAACCGCAGAAAAUGGCAACAAAUCUGCCCAAAAAAAAAAAAAAGAAAUGAAAGAAAGAUCAUUCUUCUACCUAUAGACAGAUCCAUAACUUUGCAUGUUCUGGUCAUUGCUGUAUCCUUAUUUGUAUGCCUUACAUUAUUUGUUGCUGAUAUGCACUAAAUCUUGUAAAAGAUCACAAUGGAGAAACUUGGUUUCACUUGCUUGCCGUUUUCUUCGGUACUUUACCUACCGAUAAGAUACUUCUUUCCCAGUGAGUGUUCUUCCAUCUAAUAAAAUAAACCUGUGGGAAAUGAGAAAGAUUUGUUCCCUGUUUCUCCAGCAUGAUCAUCUUGUUUAAUUCAUCAGGCAUGUCAAAAAAUUUGAUUGUUUUGAGGUUUUUGAGGUGUUCGAUACAGGAUGGUCCUUCCUCCAACAAUUGGCAGCGACUAAUGGUAAGUUCUCUGAGUAAGGGCAUUGCCCCUUCCUCCACAUGCAAACAUCUAAGUUCUUCCAACUCCUCAAGAAAUAAUAUGUUCAGCCUCUGAAAGCUUCCAGCCUUGAAACUCAAUGCUUGUCCAUCAUAUGCUUGACGAAGUUGAAGUUCUACCAGAUUUGGCAAAUCUCCAAGGGACUCGCACAGGUUGUCCUUCAAGUGGCUGCACCUC
rnacentral:lncRNA from 1 species